GACUGUGCGCGACAAAGUUUUUGUAGCGCUUAUUUUUGUGCGACGAAAAUAAUUCGUCGCGCAAUUUGUAAAAUGUAGUAGUGUAUAUGAUGCCACUGGCGGACCCAUAGAAGUGUAAGGAGGUGCAACUGCUUCUCCUCUCGACGAAAAAAGCCUUAGAAGUUGCCCCUUUGCAAUGCCCUGGAGGUGCCCACCGAUUCGAGUAAAUGCCUC
rnacentral:lncRNA from 1 species